GCAGCCACAGCUGUGGCCAGCUCAUUUAGGGCCCAGCUGACCCUUAUAAGAGGGCUGUGGGCCAGGAGCUAAGAAGAGUCUCUCCCUAGCCCUGGAGGGAGAAGGGCUAGCUUCCUGAGAGGAAGGUACCUGAACUGGAGCAGUGCUGGGGAAUAGGGCAAGGGCACUGGGGAGCUCCAGCCUGGUAAAACCCCAGGCUGCAGACCUUGUUGAAGGCCUACAGAGGUUCUUUACUGAGGGUCCUGACAAAGAAC